rnacentral:rRNA from 1 species
UACCAGCACCCCGAGUGGUCGGGACGUUUAUUGGGCCUAAAGCAUCCGUAGCCGGUUCUACAAGUCUUCCGUUAAAUCCACCUGCUUAACAGAUGGGCUGCGGAAGAUACUAUAGAGCUAGGAGGCGGGAGAGGCAAGCGGUACUCGAUGGGUAGGGGUAAAAUCCGUUGAUCCAUUGAAGACCACCAGUGGCGAAGGCGGCUUGCCAGAACGCACUCGACGGUGAGGGAUGAAAGCUGGGGGGAGCAAACCGG